rnacentral:rRNA from 1 species
UACGGAGGGAGCUAGCGUUAUUCGGAAUUACUGGGCGUAAAGCGCACGUAGGCGGCUUUGUAAGUUAGAGGUGAAAGCCUGGAGCUCAACUCCAGAACUGCCUUUAAGACUGCAUCGCUUGAAUCCAGGAGAGGUGAGUGGAAUUCCGAGUGUAGAGGUGAAAUUCGUAGAUAUUCGGAAGAACACCAGUGGCGAAGGCGGCUCACUGGACUGGUAUUGACGCUGAGGUGCGAAAGCGUGGGGAG